rnacentral:rRNA from 2 species
AAGCUCGUAGUUGAAUUUCGGGAUCAGUAUGUUGGUCGUGCUUAGGUACGUACUGUCAUUACUGGUUUCUCUCUUCUGAAGAACCUUGAUGUCAUUAAUUUGGUGUCUUGGGGAAUCAGGACUGUUACUUUGAAAAAAUUAGAGUGUUUAAAGCAGGCAUACGCUUGAAUACAUUAGCAUGGAAUAAUGAAAUAGGACGUUUGAUUCUAUUUUGUUGGUUUCUAGGAUCGACGUAAUGAUUAAUAGGGAUAGUUGGG